CAGGGCCUCCGGGUAAUUAUAGAGUCGGCUCUGUGGUUGUCUUCCAGGAAAUGGCAAGUACCAGUUGCCCUAGUGUGUCCCUGCAGACUUCACUCAAGGGACAACAGGAAACAAAUGCCAUAUAAGGGCAUCCCACGGCAGCUGCUGCUUUUCUGAGGACAAUUGGAAGAUGCAAUUGGUUAAAAAUCUUGAGAUGAAACAUCUUGGAAUCGUCCUGAACAUAUCUUGACUUGUGUUUUUAUAAGAAGAGGAGAGCACAAGAGAGCUCCAUAGGGAAGAAGGUGAUAUGACAACAGUGGCAGAAAUUGGAAUGAUGAGUCUGCAAGUCAAGGAACACCAAGAAUUGCCAGCAAUCACCAGAAGCUAGGAGAGAGGCCCGGGAUGCUUUCUUCCUUGGAGCCUCCAGAAAAACCAACCCUGCUGACAACUUGAUUUCAGACUUCUGGCCUCCUAAACCAUGAGGGAGUAAAUUAUUUUUAUUUUUUUUGUAGAGACAGAGUCUUGCUACAUUGCCCAGGCUGAUCUUGAACUCCUGGCCUCAAGAGAUCCUCCUGCCUUGGCCUCCCAAAGCUCUGGAAUUAUAGGAGUGAAUCACUGUACCCAGCCAAGAGGGAGUAAACUGAAGCUGCUCAAUUUGUGGUCAUUUCCAUGGCAGCUCAGUGAAACUAGUACAGUCCCUGACCAGCAGGCCAUGCGUUGGCCACUGUCCAUAAGUCCAUGUAUAUUUUAAUCUUGGAUCACUUCCUUUUUUGUACAAAGUGGAUGAUCAGGUACCCAGCUUGAAGCUCUAAUCAUGUGGAAAAUUUCUCUUACCACCACCCUUCAAGGCUAUCCCUUAAACUUCUAUGACAGCAGAUGUCUCUGACAAUAAAUUUAAUAUAUUAAAACUGAAAAUGUCUGAAUAUUAAAAGAUAUUUUGAAGAAAGUGGAAAAAUAAACUGAGACAAAAUAUUCAUGACACCCUGGCAAAGAAUUGAUAGCAAUAAUAUCUAAAGGACCUAAAGGACAUCUGUAAGCUAAUAAAGAAUGGCCAUACCAGUGAUUUAAAAAUGGACAAAAGCCAUGAAUAGGAAGCUCACAGAAGAGAUAAAACAUAUGGCCAAUAAACCUACAAAGAGAUACUCAAGUUCAUUAGUGAUCAGUGAAAUGGAUAACCAAAAAUCAGGAUGACAAUGAGAUACUAUUUUAAACAUAGUAAAUUGGCAAGUUUAAAAAGUCUAAUAACACAAAAUAUUGGGAAGGUUGUGGAUCAGUAGAUUAGUUUAUAGUUUGCUGGUGGGAGUGUUCAACCACUUUAGCAAGGAAUUUGGCAUUAUCUCUUAAAGCUGGAGACUCAUAUAUCUAUGAUGAGUAAUUCUACACUGGGCAUAUACUCAAAAGAAAUUAUUGCAGGUGUACAUUAGGAGACAUCUACAAGAAUGUCCAUGGAAGCAUUUCUGUUUGAAAUAGCAAAAGCUUUGAAAAAAACUUACAUGCCUCAUGACAGGAGAAGAGAUAAAUUGUGGUACCUUCAUACAAUAAAAUAUCUUACUGGAAAGAAAAUGAAUAUAAACGAUGCUAGAAAUAUAAUUUGAAUAAAAAUUAAGCUCUCAAAAGGUUACAUGUACUACAAAACACAUUUUAAAAAGUUACAAACAACAUGAAGGGUUGUUGAAUUUUGUCAAAGGCUUUUUCUGCAUCUAUUGAGAUAAUCAUGUGGUUUUUGUCUUUGGCUCUGUUUAUAUGCUGGAUUACAUUUAUUGAUUUGCGUAUAUUGAACCAGCCUUGCAUCCCAGGGAUGAAGCCCACUUGAUCAUGGUGGAUAAGCUUUUUGAUGUGCUGCUGGAUUCGGUUUGCCAAUAUUUUAGGUAUUGAUGG
rnacentral:lncRNA from 10 species